AGGGAAGAAGCUACAGUUAUAGCAAUUAGUUGUUACCUAAGAGAAAGUGAACUUUUCACCUACCCUA
rnacentral:tRNA from 1 species